rnacentral:rRNA from 1 species
AGUAACACGUGGAUAACCUACCUAUAAGACUGGGAUAACUUCGGGAAACCGGAGCUAAUACCGGAUAAUAUUUUGAACCGCAUGGUUCAAAAGUGAAAGACGGUCUUGCUGUCACUUAUAGAUGGAUCCGCGCUGCAUUAGCUAGUUGGUAAGGUAACGGCUUACCAAGGCAACGAUGCAUAGCCGACCUGAGAGGGUGAUCGGCCACACUGGAACUGAGGCACGGUCCAG